GACGAACGCUGGCGGCGUGCUUAACACAUGCAAGUCGAACGAUGAAGCUGGAGCUUGCUCCGGUGGAUUAGUGGCGAACGGGUGAGUAACACGUGAGCAAUCUGCCCUUCACUCUGGGAUAACUGCGGGAAACUGUAGCUAAUACCGGAUACGAGACCUUGGGAGAUCCCAGGGUCUGGAAAGAAUUUCGGUGAAGGAUGAGCUCGCCGCCUAUCCACUAAUUGGUGAGGUUAUGGCUCACCAAGGCGACGACGGGUAGCCGGCCUGAGAGGGUGAGCGGCAACACUGGGACUGAGACACGGCCCAGACUCCUACGGGAGGCAGCAGUGGGUAAUAUUGCACAAUGGGCGAAAGCCUGAUGCAGCAACGCCGCGUGAGGGAAGAAGGCCUUCGGGUUGUAAACCUCUUUUAGUAGGGAAGAAGCGCAAGUGACGGUACCUACAGAAAAAGCACCGGCUAACUACGUGCCAGCCGCCGCGGUAA
rnacentral:rRNA from 1 species